CCUACGGGAGGCUGCAGUGAGGAUUAUUGGUCAAUGGACGAGAGUCUGAACCAGCCAAGUAGCGUGAAGGAUGACUGCCCGAUGGGUUGUAAACUUCUUUUAUAUGGGAAUAAAGUGUUCCAAGUGUGGGAUUUUGUAUGUACCAAAUGAAUAAGGAUCGGCUAACUCCGUGCCAGCAGCUGCGGAAAUACGGAGGAUCCGAGCGUUAUCCGGAUUUAUUGGGUUCAAAGGGAGCGUAGGUGGAUUGUUAAGUCAGUUGUGAAAGUUUGCGGCUCAACCCCGGCGAGCCGUUGAAACUGGCUGUCUUGAGAUGUCGAGAGGUAUGCGGAAUGCGCAGUGUAGCGGUGAAAUGCUUAGAUAUUGCGCAGAACUCCGAUUGCGAAGGCAGCAUACCGGCGGCGAUCUGACGCUGAGGCACGAAAGCGUGGGUAUCGAACAGGAUUAGAUACCCCAGUAGUC
rnacentral:rRNA from 1 species